rnacentral:tRNA from 1 species
GGACAAUUAGCUCAGUUGGUUAGAGCGCCUCUUUCACAUGGAGGAGGUCAGGGGUUCGAGUCCCUUAUUGUCCACCA